rnacentral:rRNA from 1 species
AAUAGAUACCCCGGUAGUCCUAGCCGUAAACGAUACUCGCUAGGUGUCGGCCACGGUGCGACCGUUGUCGGUGCCGUAGGGAAGCCGUGAAGCGUGCCACCUGGGAAGUACGGCCGCAAGGCUGAAACUUAAAGGAAUUGGCGGGGGGAGCACCACAACGGGUGGAGCUUGCGGUUUAAUUGGAUUCAACGCCGGAAAUCUUACCGGGACCGACAGCAACAUGAAGGCCAGGCUGAAGACUUUGCCGGAUUAGCUGAGAGGUGGUGCAUGGCCGUCGUCAGUUCGUACUGUGAAGCAUCCUGUUAAGUCAGGCAACGAGCGAGACCCACGCCCACAGUUGCCAGCGUACUCUCUGGAGUGACGGGUACACUGUGGGGACCGCCGCUGCUAAAGCGGAGGAAGGAAUGGGCAACGGUAGGUCAGUAUGCCCCGAAUAUCCCGGGCUACACGCGAGCUACAAUGGUUGGUACAAUGGGUAUCUACCCGAAAGGGGAUGGAAAUCUCCUAAAGCCAAUCUUAGUUCGGAUUGAGGGCUGCAACUCGCCCUC